rnacentral:rRNA from 1 species
GGGGAAAAAUUAAUAAAAUAAAGUUAAUAAAAUAAAUUUUAAAUUAAAAAUAAAUAAUGGGGGUUAAAGUAUUUUUAAUAGAAAAAAUUUAAAUUUUUAUAGGGAAGUAAGUAUUGUAAGAGAAAUUUGAAAUAAUUUAAAAUAAAUUAUUAAAAAAGAAAAUUUUAUUUAUUGUAUCUUGUGUAUCAGAGUUUAUUAAAUAUUUUUUUUUUAUAAAAAAAUCUCGAAUUUAAAAGAGUAAAUUAAUUAUAAAAGUUAAUGUAACAUAAUUAUUUUAAAUAAUUAAUUGGAAAUGAAAUGUUAAUCGUUUUUGAAUAUAUCUAGUUAUUUUAGAAAAAAAUUUAAUUUUAAAUUUAAAUAAUUUUAUAAUUUAAUAAUAAAAAUUACAAAAAUUUAAAUUUAAUAUUUUAAGGGAUAAGCUUUAAAUUAAAAAUUUAUAAUAAAAAAUAAAUUGAAAAUUAAAAUUUUUAAAAUUUAUAUUGUUUAAAAAUUAUAAUUUAUUAUAAAAAAUUUUAAUAAAAAUAAAAUUUAAUAAAAAAAAAAAUUUAAAUUUAUAUAAAAUAAAAAUUUUUAAUAUAAAAAAGUUAGUAAUAAUGAUAAAAUUAGUAUAAAAUAAUAAAAAAAAAAUAAAUUUUUAUUAAAAUUAAAUAAAAGGAAUUCGGCAAAUUAAAUAUUCACUUGUUUAUCAAAAACAUGUCUUUUUGAAAUAAUUUAAAGUCUAAUCUGCCCACUGAUAAAUAUUAAAGGGCUGCAGUAUAUUGACUGUACAAAGGUAGCAUAAUCAUUAGUUUUUUAAUUGGAAACUUGUAUGAAAGAUUUGAUGAAAUAUAAACUGUCUCUAAUUUAUUAUUAAAAAUUUAUUUUUUAGUUAAAAAGCUAAAAUAAAUUUAAAAGACGAGAAGACCCUAUAGAGUUUUAUAUUUUAUGAAGUAUAAAAAUUAUAUAAAAAUUAAAAUUAAUAUUUUAUAAAAUAUUAUAUUGGGGUGAUAGAAAAAUUUAAUUAACUUUUUUUAAAAAUUAAUCAUAAAUAAAUGAAUAAAUGAUCCAUUAAUAAUGAUUAUAAGAAAAAAUUACCUUAGGGAUAACAGCGUAAUAUUUUUUUUUAGUUCAAAUAAAAAAAAAAGUUUGCGACCUCGAUGUUGGAUUAAGAUAAAAUUUAAAUGUAAAUGUUUAAAAUUUUGAUCUGUUCGAUCAUUAAAAUCUUACAUGAUCUGAGUUCAAACCGGUGUAAGCCAGGUUGGUUUCUAUCUUUAGAAAAAUAAAAUAUUUUAGUACGAAAGGAUCAAAUAUUUGGAAUAAUUUUAAUAAAAGAAGAAUAUUAUUAAUAUAAUUAUAAAUAAAACUAUUUUGGCAGAAAAAUGU